AAGUCUCGCUUUUUUCCAAACACUAAGACCCAUCAACGGUCGUUCGUCUUGCCGUGGCACGCACACCAGUCACAAUGUCGAAGCUUCUGAUCAUGUUUCUUCUGCUGUGUUUGGUGGCUGUCAGCCAAGCUGUCAGCCCCAUGUUGCUGUACUUUCUGUUUAACCAGAGUGGCAUGGACAUGAAGAACAUGAUGCCUCUUUUCCUGUACUACUCCAGGAUGCAGCAGAGCUCUGCAGCUGGGGGAACCGGCGCCUUCAUAUAAAAUACUUUAGUUUUGUCCUCGCACAGUAAUCACAGUUCAUUUUGUACACCAAAAAUACCAUGAUAUUUUCAUUUUUGUUUUGUUAUAUCUUCGUAUUGGAGGAAAAAAUAGAGGCCAUGUCGAAUUUAUGUCGAUUUGAUUUCUAAGGGCAAUUCUAAUAAAAAAAGGUUUUCAUCAUG